UACAGAGGGGGCAAGCGUUGUUCGGAAUUACUGGGCGUAAAGGGCGCGUAGGCGGCCUGUUAAGUCGAACGUGAAAUCCCUGGGCUCAACCCAGGAACUGCGUCCGAUACUGGCUGGCUUGAAUCCGGGAGAGGGAUGUGGAAUUCCAGGUGUAGCGGUGAAAUGCGUAGAUAUCUGGAGGAACACCGGUGGCGAAGGCGACAUCCUGGACCGGUAUUGACGCUGAGGCGCGAAAGCUAGGGGAGCAAACGGG
rnacentral:rRNA from 1 species